rnacentral:rRNA from 1 species
GACGAACGCUGGCGGCGUGCUUAACACAUGCAAGUCGAACGGAAAGGCCCUGCUUGCAGGGUACUCGAGUGGCGAACGGGUGAGUAACACGUGGGUGAUCUACCCUGCACUUCGGGAUAAGCUUGGGAAACUGGGUCUAAUACCGGAUAGGAGCCAUCUUUAGUGUGGUGGUUGGAAAGUUUUUUCGGUGUAGGAUGAGCUCGCGGCCUAUCAGCUUGUUGGUGGGGUAAUGGCCUACCAAGGCGGCGACGGGUAGCCGGCCUGAGAGGGUGUACGGCCACAUUGGGACUGAGAUACGGCCCAGACUCCUACGGGAGGCAGCAGUGGGGAAUAUUGCACAAUGGGCGCAAGCCUGAUGCAGCGACGCCGCGUGGGGGAUGAAGGCCUUCGGGUUGUAAACUCCUUUCGCUAGGGACGAAGCUUUUUUGUGACGGUACCUAGAUAAGAAGCACCGGCUAACUACGUG